GGGUGCUCUGGCAUGUCCAGUUGAGAUAAGGGGAUUCCAGAGACAUUUUAGAGCCUCACCCCACUUGGCCACUGAAGCUGUCAGCCUUCCAGUCUGAAGAACUGGAUGAACCAGAAUGGGUCUAUUCAAGCUCUGGUUACCUCAGCCCCAUGCCAUCCAGACGGUAUGAUUCCCAAGACCAGCC